rnacentral:lncRNA from 1 species
GGCGAUGAACGCCGGGUCCGCAGUGGGCUGAGCCCUCGGUGUCCUCAGCGCCCGGCUGGUAGAAGAGGGCACUUUUCUGCGGACGCUCUCGCUUCCUUGUUCAAAUCACUGACCUCGACUCGGAGCCUCCAUCUGUCUCUGUGUAGUCGGGGCAGAACCAGCAGUGCCUCCUUCGAAAGGCUCUGUGAGAAGACAUGUCAUGAGCAGUCUUGACCCACAUAGUGAAGACAAAGCUUCAAGCAAACAGCCUUAUGAAUGAGCCAUGUCAGAAGUAGAUCUUCCAGCUCCUUCGGGGAUCUACAUUCCUGACUGCAAACUUGACUGUAACCUCAUGAGGGACCCUAAGCUAAAGCCAAAACCUCGCAGGUAUCUGUCUGUCCCCGAAUGAUGAGAGACAUGUGGAGCAGACCUGAACCCAACACACUCCCUAGAGUGAACUCCAUUCUGUCCACAGCCUCAAGAAAAGCUUGCAGCAGAGCCCAGCCUGCAUCACACAAACCAUAGUCAGCCUGUGGACUGAUGGGAAAGAUACUAACUGUCGCUGUAAGAUUUUGAUUUGGCGGGUUGUUUGUUACAAAACUUUACUGAAACGAGAGAUGACUAAUAUAUGAAAUUAUUGUGAAGAACAAAUGAGACAUUUAACAUUGUGCUAG